rnacentral:rRNA from 1 species
UGGGGAAUAUUGCGCAAUGGGGGAAACCCUGAUGCAGCGACGCCGCGUGAACGAUGAAGCCCUUCGGGGUGUAAAGCUCUUUCGACCGGAACGAUAAUGACGGUACCGGGAGAAGAAGCUGCGGCUAACUACGUGCCAGCAGCCGCGGUAAUACGUAGGCAGCAAGCGUUGUUCGGAGUUACUGGGCGUAAAGAGUGCGUAGGCGGUUUUCUAAGUUCGGUGUGAAAUCUCCCGGCUUAACUGGGAGGGUGCGCCGAAGACUGGGAAGCUGGAGUGUGGGAAAGGCAGGCGGAAUUCCUGGUGUAGCGGUGAAAUGCGUAGAUAUCAGGAGGAACACCGGCGGUGUAGACGGCUUGCUAGACCAUAACUGACGCUGAGGCACGAAAGCGUGGGUAGCAAACA